rnacentral:rRNA from 1 species
UGGUGGGUAGUUUGACUGGGGCGGUCUCCUCCCAAAGAGUAACGGAGGAGCACGAAGGUUGGCUAAUCCUGGUCGGACAUCAGGAGGUUAGUGCAAUGGCAUAAGCCAGCUUGACUGCGAGCGUGACGGCGCGAGCAGGUGCGAAAGCAGGUCAUAGUGAUCCGGUGGUUCUGAAUGGAAGGGCCAUCGCUCAACGGAUAAAAGGUACUCCGGGGAUAACAGGCUGAUACCGCCCAAGAGUUCAUAUCGACGGCGGUGUUUGGCACCUCGAUGUCGGCUCAUCACAUCCUGGGGCUGAAGUAGGUCCCAAGGGUAUGGCUGUUCGCCAUUUAAAGUGGUACGCGAGCUGGGUUUAGAACGUCGUGAGACAGUUCGGUCCCUAUCUGCCGUGGGCGCUGGAGAAUUGAGGGGGGCUGCUCCUAGUACGAGAGGACCGGAGUGGACGCAUCACUGGUGUUCG